rnacentral:rRNA from 1 species
AGAAUCAACGCUGGCGGCGUGCCUAACACAUGCAAGUCGAACGAGAAAGUGGAGCAAUCCACAAGUAAAGUGGCGCACGGGUGAGUAACACGUGACUAACCUACCCUUGAGUGGGGGAUAACCUAGAGAAAUCUGGGCUAAUACCGCAUAAUACCUUCGGGUCAAAGGAGCAAUUCGCUUAAGGAGGGGGUCGCGGCCGAUUAGUUAGUUGGCGGGGUAAUGGCCCACCAAGACUAUGAUCGGUAUCCGGCCUGAGAGGGCGCACGGACACACUGGAACUGAAACACGGUCCAGACUCCUACGGGAGGCAGCAGUGGGAAUUUGCGCAAUGGGGGAAACCCUGACGCAGCAACGCCGCGUGGAGGAUGAAGUCCCUUGGGACGUAAACUCCUUUCGAUCGGACGAUAAUGACGGUACCGAGAGAAGAAGCCCCGGCUAACUUCGUGCCAGCAGCCGC